rnacentral:tRNA from 1 species
GCAGUGGUGGUUCAGUGGUGGAAUUCCUGCCUUCCAUGUGGGAGACCUGGGUUCAAACCCCAGGCAAUGCA